rnacentral:lncRNA from 1 species
CUGACCCCAUAAUCUGCCAGAAGGGUUCUCCAGGGAAUCUUCUGUUGGUAUAAAGCCACUUUAUUGAACGGUCUCGCUCUCACACCCCCCACCCCCAUUUCUCGUCCUGUCUGGGUUGAGGUCACUGAUCGUCUCUCCUUCCAGUCUGUCUCUGUCCACGGCACCCUGAGAUUCAGUGUUCUCUGUGUCAUCUGGGAGAGGGCAGGUGACCUUGAGAUCCUGGCAUGGCACAGGGUGUGCUGGCAGCUGACAUACGGCCAAGGAGUGGCCAGCCCCACAGCCCACGAGGAGGAGUCUUGAUGGUGAUGGUGGCAGAGCCUGCACUGGAGUUGGAGUCCAGACAUUGGACUCAGUGCCAUCCCCACACAUGCCGUGUUCGUUCCAACCCCAGGAGCAGCACUUGUCCCCUGCGGAAGAGAGGGCACAGACAUCACUGUAACGUCCAGCGUACACAGGAAGAAAACAGAGCUUGUGGUCAAUAACAGGAUUUGUAGGAUGGGGAUUCCCAGCCAGCAGGGACAGCCAUCUUGAAGACACUCGAGAACUCUGUGAGGACUGCCAGGAUGCUCUUUGAACAUGACUUUGGUGAUCUGUGGGCAUCUCUGCCCCUCUCCCACAUCACCAGUGUUUAUUAACAUCAUGGGUUUAAAAAAAUCUUUUCUAAUUUGAAC